rnacentral:lncRNA from 1 species
GCGGCAGCACGGCCCGAGCGCAACGCACAGAAGAACCAUGGUCGCCUUGACCAAUAGCUCUGCCCCGAGCGGCGCUCCUCUGCGUCCGAGGUGCAGCUCCAUCGCCAAUCCAGGUCGCCCCAUUCCCUGCUCCUUCUUCCUCCCUCCUCAUCAUCUUGCUCCCCCUGCUUUCCCUCUGACUCUCUCUCCCCUCGUUCACCUCUCUCCCCUCUCUUCCCUGCAGGUCCGCAGCACCAUGGAGGCGAGCUCCUCCGGAACGCGCCAGAUCCGCUGGGAAUGGAGUCCCUUGCCCUAGAUCCGGCCANNNNNNNNNNUACUCUCUCUCCCCUCGUUCACCUCUCUCCCCUCUCUAUCCUGCAGGUCCGCAGCACCAUGGAGGCAAGCUCCU